AAAGCGAGACCUGUGGGUGGGGUUUGUGGGAGGGAAAGGCCUAUCACUGGACAGGGCUCCCAAGGAGGGCGGCGCCGUGGAGGGAAAUCCACUAUGGGGGCGUGGCCUAAUGGUGGGCGGGGAUUCCUAGAGAGCUAGGCCUCUGAUAGGGCAGAAUUUCGGAAGAGCGGGGACUGUGACUGGAUGUGACCUGGGGGGCGGGUACUCCUGUGAGGCAGAGACGUAUGGUUGGAUAAAACAGCGGGGGGGCGGAGCCUGAGGGUGUGGAUUCUGUCGCGAGCUGUGAUUCUCCGAUUGGCAACUGGGAUUUCGCGUGGCCGGAAGAACGGGUAAACAGAACGACCCACACCGACGCACCAGCCCGAAAGCCACUGACUCUGGCUCUCACUGACAAUGAUGGACAGUGACCAACAGACGGGCAAAGGUGUGCUGGAGCCAGCUUGUACUGCCUGGCAAGAGCCAACUAUCAAAUUUUCAGGAAUUUUGGGGCCAGUUGUUAAACACAGCCAUUAUUUAAAAAUUGAUUGUAUAAACUUACGAUCAACUGGAUUUUAUUAAAACAAAGGUAAUAACUACUCAGAACUCAGCACUUCUUAAUUAUGUUACUAUCUAUGCUACUGAGGUUAUUUGCAUAUAUCACAUCUGUAGGCUGGAAAUACCAUAUUAUAUGCGGUGCAUCUCUUAUGCAUUUUGUCUUUAAUGACACCACAUUAAUAGCCUGAAAUUGGCCGUGGUGGGAGUAUUUACUCCCGUGGUGGGAGUAUUUAGGAAUUGACAAACACUACAGAUCGGUCGCUUUCUGGUUUGUUUGGAGGGCCAGUUAUUAAAUGUUUAACCACCACAUAGAGAGGGAGAACAGAGACGCCUCCAAGGAAUCUUUGCCGUGCUUAGAAGGUGAAAUGAUGACAGCUGGAGGGACAUAUGGGGUAGAGUGAGGGUGGUUUGUGUUAUUCCCACCUUUUUAUUUUGAAAAUUUUCAAAGCUACAAAAAAGUUGCGAGAAUACUAUAAUGAACACUCAUGUACCCUUCACCUAGAUUCAUUUUGCUACACUUGCUUUAGCAUUCUUUCUCUAUGUAUAAGCAAACAAACAUAUGUAUGCAAACAAAUAUAUAUGUGUUGUCAAACUCAAGGUUGUGUGCCCAAGGAACAGUGAGGCAAACAAACCGAAACACUGGACUUUGGAGCAGAGAAAGGUUAAUUAGUUGAAGAGGCACCAACCUGGAAGAUGGGAGACGUAGACUCAUCUCAAAUCCAUCUUGCUGGCUGGCUGUGGGCACAAGGUUUUUGUUUUUACUGAAGUAUAGUUAAUUUACAGUAUUGUGGUACUUUCAGGUGUACAGCUAAGUGAUUCAAUUAUAUACAUAUAUGUAUAUGUGUAAUGAUUUAAAAAAUUUUUUUCCAUUAUAGUUUGUUACAAGACAUUGGAAAUAGUUCCCUGUGCUAUACAGUAGGUCCUUGCUGUUUAUCUAUUUUAUAUAUAGUGGUGUGUAUCUGUUAAUCCCAUACUCCCAAUUUAUCCCUCCCCCCCUUCCCCUUUGGUAAACAUAAGUUUGUUUUCUAUG